UUUUUGCUGUCAUGUGCAAGGAUAUGUUUGCAGAUUCUGUACUGCACAUGACCAAUUGACUCACUGUUUGCCUGUUUGUUGUUGCCCUG